AUUGAACGCUGGCGGAAUGCUUUACGCAUGCAAGUCGAACGAUGAAGUCUAGCUUGCUAGACGGAUUAGUGGCGAACGGGUGAGUAAUAUAUCGGAACGUAUCCAUUAAUGGGGGAUAACUAGUCGAAAGAUUGGCUAAUACAGCAUACGUCCUACGGGAGAAAGCUGGGGAUCGUAAGACCUGGCGUUAAUGGAGCGGCCGAUAUCUGAUUAGCUAGUUGGUGAGGUAAAGGCUCACCAAGGCGACGAUCAGUAGCGGGUCUGAGAGGACGGACGGCCACACUGGAGCUGAGAGACGGUCCAGACUCUUACGGGAGGCAGCUGUGGGGAAUUUUUGACAGUGGGCGAAAGCGUGAUCCAGCAAUUCCGCGUGAGUGAAGAAGGCCGUCGGGUUGUAAAGCUCUUUCGCAAGGGAAGAAAACUUAUCCUCUAACAUGGGGUGAGGUUGACGGUACCUUGAUAAGAAGCACCGGCUAACUACGUGCCAGCAGCCGCGGUAAUAC
rnacentral:rRNA from 1 species